ACGCUGGCGGCGUGCCUAAUACAUGCAAGUCGAGCGAACAGACGAGGCGCUUGCUCCUCUGACGUUAGCGGCGGACGGGUGAGUAACACGUGGAUAACCUACCUAUAAGACUGGGAUAACUUCGGGAAACCGGAGCUAAUACCGGAUAAUAUAUUGAACCGCAUGGUUCAAUAGUGAAAGACGGUUUUGCUGUCACUUAUAGAUGGAUCCGCGCCGCAUUAGCUAGUUGGUAAGGUAACGGCUUACCAAGGCGACGAUGCGUAGCCGACCUGAGAGGGUGAUCGGCCACACUGGAACUGAGACACGGUCCAGACUCCUACGGGAGGCAGCAGUAGGGAAUCUUCCGCAAUGGGCGAAAGCUUGACGGAGCAACGCCGCGUGAGUGAUGAAGGUCUUCGGAUCGUAAAACUCUGUUAUUAGGGAAGAACAAAUGUGUAAGUAACUAUGCACGUCUUGACGGUACCUAAUCAGAAAGCCACGGCUAACUACGUG
rnacentral:rRNA from 1 species